rnacentral:rRNA from 1 species
UUAAGCGACUAAGCGUACACGGUGGAUGCCCUGGCAGUCAGAGGCGAUGAAGGACGUGCUAAUCUGCGAAAAGCGUCGGUAAGGUGAUAUGAACCGUUACAGCCGGCGAUGUCCGAAUGGGGAAACCCAGUGCAAUUCGUUGCACUAUCGUUAACUGAAUACAUAGGUUAACGAGGCGAACCGGGGGAACUGAAACAUCUAAGUACCCCGAGGAAAAGAAAUCAACCGAGAUUCCCCCAGUAGCGGCGAGCGAACGGGGAGCAGCCCAGAGUCUGAAUCAGCUUGUGUGUUAGUGGAACGGUCUGGAAAGUCCGACGGUACAGGGUGAUAGUCCCGUACACCAAAAUGCACAGGCUGUGAACUCGAAGAGUAGGGCGGGACACGUGGUAUCCUGUCUGAAUAUGGGGGGACCAUCCUCCAAGGCUAAAUACUCCUGACUGACCGAUAGUGAACCAGUACCGUGAGGGAAAGGCGAAAAGAACCCCGGCGAGGGGAGUGAAAAAGAACCUGAAACCGUGUACGUACAAGCAGUGGGAGCACCUUCGGGUGUGACUGCGUACCUUUUGUAUAAUGGGUCAGCGACUUAUAUUCUGUAGCAAGGUUAACCGUAUAGGGGAGCCGCAGGGAAACCGAGUCUUAACUGGGCGUUAAGUUGCAGGGUAUAGACCCGAAACCCGGUGAUCUAGCCAUGGGCAGGUUGAAGGUUGGGUAACACUAACUGGAGGACCGAACCGACUAAUGUUGAAAAAUUAGCGGAUGACUUGUGGCUGGGGGUGAAAGGCCAAUCAAACCGGGAGAUAGCUGGUUCUCCCCGAAAGCUAUUUAGGUAGCGCCUCGUGAACUCAUCUUCGGGGGUAGAGCACUGUUUCGGCUAGGGGGUCAUCCCGACUUACCAACCCGAUGCAAACUACGAAUACCGAAGAAUGUUAUCACGGGAGACACACGGCGGGUGCUAACGUCCGUCGUGAAGAGGGAAACAACCCAGACCGCCAGCUAAGGUCCCAAAGUCAUGGUUAAGUGGGAAACGAUGUGGGAAGGCACAGACAGCCAGGAUGUUGGCUUAGAAGCAGCCAUCAUUUAAAGAAAGCGUAAUAGCUCACUGGUCGAGUCGGCCUGCGCGGAAGAUGUAACGGGGCUAAACCAUGCACCGAAGCUGCGGCAGCGACACUAUGUGUUGUUGGGUAGGGGAGCGUUCUGUAAGCCUGCGAAGGUGUGCUGUGAGGCAUGCUGGAGGUAUCAGAAGUGCGAAUGCUGACAUAAGUAACGAUAAAGCGGGUGAAAAGCCCGCUCGCCGGAAGACCAAGGGUUCCUGUCCAACGUUAAUCGGGGCAGGGUGAGUCGACCCCUAAGGCGAGGCCGAAAGGCGUAGUCGAUGGGAAACAGGUUAAUAUUCCUGUACUUGGUGUUACUGCGAAGGGGGGACGGAGAAGGCUAUGUUAGCCGGGCGACGGUUGUCCCGGUUUAAGCAUGUAGGCUGGUUGUCCAGGCAAAUCCGGAUAAUCAAGGCUGAGGUGUGAUGACGAGGCACUACGGUGCUGAAGUAACAAAUGCCCUGCUUCCAGGAAAAGCCUCUAAGCAUCAGGUAACAUCAAAUCGUACCCCAAACCGACACAGGUGGUCAGGUAGAGAAUACCAAGGCGCUUGAGAGAACUCGGGUGAAGGAACUAGGCAAAAUGGUGCCGUAACUUCGGGAGAAGGCACGCUGGUGUGUAGGUGAAGCCCCUGCGGGUGGAGCUGAGACCAGUCGAAGAUACCAGCUGGCUGCAACUGUUUAUUAAAAACACAGCACUGUGCAAACACGAAAGUGGACGUAUACGGUGUGACGCCUGCCCGGUGCCGGAAGGUUAAUUGAUGGGGUUAUCCGUAAGGAGAAGCUCUUGAUCGAAGCCCCGGUAAACGGCGGCCGUAACUAUAACGGUCCUAAGGUAGCGAAAUUCCUUGUCGGGUAAGUUCCGACCUGCACGAAUGGCGUAAUGAUGGCCAGGCUGUCUCCACCCGAGACUCAGUGAAAUUGAACUCGCUGUGAAGAUGCAGUGUACCCGCGGCAAGACGGAAAGACCCCGUGAACCUUUACUAUAGCUUGACACUGAACAUUGAGCCUUGAUGUGUAGGAUAGGUGGGAGGCUUUGAAGCGUGGACGCCAGUCUGCGUGGAGCCAACCUUGAAAUACCACCCUUUAAUGUUUGAUGUUCUAACGUUGGCCCCUGACCGGGGUUGCGGACAGUGUCUGGUGGGUAGUUUGACUGGGGCGGUCUCCUCCCAAAGCGUAACGGAGGAGCACGAAGGUUAGCUAAUCCUGGUCGGACAUCAGGAGGUUAGUGCAAUGGCAUAAGCUAGCUUGACUGCGAGCGUGACGGCGCGAGCAGGUGCGAAAGCAGGUCAUAGUGAUCCGGUGGUUCUGAAUGGAAGGGCCAUCGCUCAACGGAUAAAAGGUACUCCGGGGAUAACAGGCUGAUACCGCCCAAGAGUUCAUAUCGACGGCGGUGUUUGGCACCUCGAUGUCGGCUCAUCACAUCCUGGGGCUGAAGUAGGUCCCAAGGGUAUGGCUGUUCGCCAUUUAAAGUGGUACGCGAGCUGGGUUUAGAACGUCGUGAGACAGUUCGGUCCCUAUCUGCCGUGGGCGCUGGAGAAUUGAGGGGGGCUGCUCCUAGUACGAGAGGACCGGAGUGGACGCAUCACUGGUGUUCGGGUUGUCAUGCCAAUGGCACUGCCCGGUAGCUAAAUGCGGAAGAGAUAAGUGCUGAAAGCAUCUAAGCACGAAACUUGCCCCGAGAUGAGUUCUCCCUGAGACUUUAAGUCUCCUGAAGGAACGUU